rnacentral:rRNA from 1 species
GGGUUGUGAGGUUAAGCGACUAAGCGUACACGGUGGAUGCCCUGGCAGUCAGAGGCGAUGAAGGGCGUGCUAAUCUGCGAUAAGCGCCGGUAAGGUGAUAUGAACCGUUAUAACCGGCGAUACCCGAAUGGGGAAACCCAGUGUGAUUCGUCACACUAUCAUUAACUGAAUCCAUAGGUUAAUGAGGCGAACCGGGGGAACUGAAACAUCUAAGUACCCCGAGGAAAAGAAAUCAACCGAGAUUCCCCCAGUAGCGGCGAGCGAACGGGGAGGAGCCCAGAGCCUGAAUCAGCAUGUGUGUUAGUGGAAGCGUCUGGAAAGGCGCGCGAUACAGGGUGACAGCCCCGUACACAAAAGCGCAUGUGCUGUGAGCUCGAUGAGUAGGGCGGGACACGUGGUAUCCUGUCUGAAUAUGGGGGGACCAUCCUCCAAGGCUAAAUACUCCUGACUGACCGAUAGUGAACCAGUACCGUGAGGGAAAGGCGAAAAGAACCCCGGCGAGGGGAGUGAAAAAGAACCUGAAACCGUGUACGUACAAGCAGUGGGAGCACCCUUCGGGGUGUGACUGCGUACCUUUUGUAUAA